ensembl:lncRNA
CCCCAUAACGGCCCCAUAGCGGCCCCAGAGCGACCCCAUAGCGGCCCCAGAGCGACCCCAUAGCAGCAUCACAGCCCCAUAGCGACCCCAUAGCGACCCAUAACGGCCCCAUAGCGGCCCACAACGGCCGCGGAGCGGCCCAUAGCGGCCCCAUAGCAGCCCCAUAGUGACCCCAUAGCAGCCCCAUAACAGCCCCAGAGCGGCCCCAUAACGACCCCAUAGCGACUCCAUAGCAGCCCCAUAGCAGCCCCAUAGCAGCAGUGUGGCCCCAUAGUGGCCCCAUAGUGACCCCAUAGCAGCCCCAGAGUGACCCCAUAGCAGCCCCAUAGCGGCCCCAUAGAAGCAUCACGGCCCCAUAAUGGCCCCAUAGCAACCCCAUAGCAGCACCGUGGCCCCAUAACGGCCCCAUAGCAGCCCCAUAGCAGCAGUGUGGCCCCAUAGUGGCCCCAUAGCAGCCCCAUAGAAGCAUCACAGCACCAUAUGGGGCCGCACACUAUGGGGCACUAUGGGGUGUGCUAUGGGGCGCUAUGGGGUGUGCUAUGGGGUGCUAUGGGGUGCAAUGGGGCACUAUGGGGUGCUAUGGGGUGCUAUAGGCUGCAGUGGGGCGCUAUGGGGUGCAAUAGGAUGCUAUGGGGCGCAAUGGGUCUCUAUGGGGUGCAAUGGGGCGCUAUGGGUCCCUAUGGGGUAUAAUGGGGCUCUGUGGGGCGCUGUGAGGCGCUAUGGGACCCUAUGGGGUGUAAUGGGGCGCUAUGGGGCAAUAUGGGACGCUAUGUGGCUGUUAUGGGGUGCUAUAGGGCGCUAUGGGGUGCAGUGGGGCACUAUGGGGUGCUAUGGGGCGCUAUAUGCUGCAGUGGGGCGCUAUGGAAUGCAAUAGGAUGCUAUGGGGUGCAAUGGGAUGCUAUGGGUCCCUAUGGGGUGUAAUGGGGCUCUGUGGGGCGCUAUGGGGCGCUAUGGGGUGUGCUGUGGGGCGCUAUGGGGCACUAUUGGUCCUUAUGGGGUGUAAUGGGGCUCUGUGGGGCGCUAUGGGUCCCUAUGGGGUGUAAUGGGGCGCUGUGGGGUGCUGUGGGGCGCUAUGGGGCACUAUGAGGUGUGCUAUGGGGUGCUAUGGGGUGCAAUGGGGCACUAUGGGGUGCUAUGGGGUGCUAUAGGCUGCAGUGGGGUGCUAUGGGUCUCUAUGGGGUGCUAUGGGUCUCUAUGGGGUGUAAUGGGGCGCUGUGGGGUGCUGUGGGGCGCUAUGGGGCGUUAUGGGGUGCAAUGGGGUGCUAUGGGGUGCUAUAGGCUGCAGUGGGGCGCUAUGGGGCGCUACGGGGUGCAAUAGGAUGCUAUGGGGCGCUAUGGGUCCUUAUGGGGUGUAAUGGGGCUCUGUGGGGUGCUGUGGGGCGCUAUGGGGCGCUAUGGGGUGCAGUGGGGCACUAUGGGGUGCUAUGGGGUGCUAUAGGCUGCAGUGGGGCGCUAUGGAAUGCAAUAGGAUGCUAUGGGGUGCAAUGGGAUGCUAUGGGUCCCUAUGGGGUGUAAUGGGGCGCUGUGGGGCGCUA